AGCCAGAUCACUCUUAAAAAUGGGCUGUCACAGUCCAAAUGACAUCCUGAAGAUGGCAAGGGUGCUGAUUUGAUCUCUUACUGUUAACAACCACGUGGAGGAAAAAAAAAGAAAAAAGAAAUAAGAAAAAAGAAAAAAGAAAAAAAAAGGAAAGGAAGGAACAGUGUAAGCAGCUGAAGGGAGCAGCUCCCAUCCUUCCCUCUAUGCCUCUCUGGAAGAAGUGGUGCCCGCCUCUCGAGUAGUCAUGAGACCUUCCAGUGCCCCAGCCUGGCCCCGCAAGGACCUGUGGCAGAAAGUGCAAGGAAGAGACAGCU
rnacentral:lncRNA from 1 species